rnacentral:rRNA from 1 species
AGCCUUACAGCUAGCCUCCUAACAAAAUCAACCAACCCCCAUUAAUAAACCAACACACAUCAAACUAAAUAAAACUAAACCAUUCUUCCUCCCUAGUACAGGCGAUAAAAAAGGACCCAUGAGCAAUAGAAAAAGUACCGCAAGGGAAAGCUGAAAAAGAAAUGAAAUAAAUUAACUAAGCUAAAAAAAGUAGGAAUAAAGCCCCGUACCUCUUGCAUCAUGAAUUAACUAGAAACCCCUGGCAAAAAGAAUUUUAGUCAGACCCCCCGAAACUAAGUGAGCUACUCCAAGACAGCCUAAUGGGCACACCCGUCUCUGUGGCAAAAGAGUGGGAAGAGCUUUGAGUAGAGGUGAUAAACCUACCGAACUUAGUGAUAGCUGGUUGCCUAAGAAAUGAAUAGAAGUUCAGCCUCCUAAAUUCUUCCUUCAAAUAUUAAACAAUAGAACCAAAGAAUACAAGAGAGUUAGUCAAAGGAGGUACAGCCCCUUUGAAAUAGAUACAACUUUAUUUAAGAAGAUUAAGGAUCAUA